UCCACGCUCAGCACGGAGUCCGAUGCGGGGCUCAAUCCCAUGCCCCUGGGACCAGGACCUGAGCUGAAAUCAAGAGUCGGACACUCAGCUGACCAAGCUGCGCCCAGAAGCCACAACAGUCCUUUCAAACAACCAACUUCUGCCUGUGUAAUUCUCUCGACAGCCUCCACUCCCACUGGUUUUGAUACUUUCGGGCGUGUUACUUGCCCCCUUCUGCUGCUGUUCUUAUGAAGCCAGAGGCCCAGCUAGCCGACUCCUAGCUCGCCCGCUGGCGUCCCCACUGCUGGCUGCAGUGGCUCCCAGAGGUUCUGGCAGGUCCUGUUUCAGCGUCCUGGAGGCUGGAGGACUUUAUAACUUUCAUUAUGUAUUUUUUUUCUUUUGAGUCAGGUUAUUGAGAGGGUUUUUUCCCUAGGAUAUGAGUGUCGUUUGAACAACAACAGAAAAACCAUCAAGGCAGAGAUUAAUCUGGGAGAUCUGCCUCUGGGGCCUGGCGGCGGUGUGAUACCACGGUGGCGAACGCAGAAGAAACAGCCCAUCUGCCUCGCCAGAGCACCAGGAGGCAAAAGUGGCCACUAACCGAGCUGAUGCUGUUGAAAUCAGCCGCGGUCCUACCGGGAGGGGCCCCAAGGGCCAGCGGCACAGGCACCGCUCACGCAUGGGAGCUAACAUCCACCUCGCUAAGAACACAACACGUGACGGGAAGCUCUACACCCAACGUGGGGCUGAACUCAGGACCCCGAGAUGGAGAGUUGCACAAUCUACCAUCUACCGCCUGAGCCAGCCAGGCGCGCUAAGGGCUGACGUUCUUACAACAGUUAGGGGGCGCCGGCCCUGCGCUCGGGA